rnacentral:piRNA from 1 species
UGAUUGCAAAUUGGGAUAACC